GAGUCCAGACGCAAACCCAAACCAAGCGAAAAAUAUCCACCGAAUCUCUUCUUUUUCCUGCUCGCGGCCGCGGCGACCGGAGGUAGGGAAGGAAGGAAUCCAAGUCGACGAUGGCGUGCCGAGCCCUCGCGCUCCGCUCCCUGCUCCUCCCCGACCCCCUCCACCACCUGACCCUCCGCGCCGCCGCGUCGGCUCCGGCGGCGCGGUCUCGCUGUGGGCGCCGCCCCCGCCGCGGCCUCCGCUGCUGCUCCAGUGAGAGCGGGGCUGGGGACCCGGGACAGCCGCCGCAGGAGGCCGUGCUCGAGGCCAUCUCAAAGGUGGCAAUGUCUAAAGGAAGGGUUGCACUCACCACAAAUAUGGUGAUAGGUGGAACUGUCAAAGAUGAUUCAGGUGAUGAAUGGCUUAAUCUAGAUCAGAAGGUGAAUUCAUAUCCCACUGACAGAGGAUUUACAGCAAUUGGUAUUGGAGGUGAAGAUUUUGUUCAUGCAAUGGUUGAUGCUGUUGAAUCAGUUCUUCAAGAGCCAAUUCCCAAGGGCCAAGUAACUCAGAAAAUAUCUUCGAGGGGUAAAUAUGUUUCUGUAAAGAUUGGACCAAUUCGAGUUGUUUCUAGUGAGCAGGUCCAAGCUGUCUACCGCGCCAUGAGAAGAGAUAACAGGAUGAAAUACUUCUUAUGAGCUGCAGCUACGCAUUCCUUAACACAUGUAUGUUCAAUGGUUCUUUCCUUGUAACACCAGCACUGUUAUGCUUACUUCUGGAACUUCUGUGAACUGAAGAGGAACGGCAAGAACAUUUUUGCGACACUUUAGCCCAAAGCAGAAUUGCUCCAUUCCAGACUCCAGAUCAUGCAUACCCUACGGCGCAACGGGAUGUUUUCCAUUACAGUGUAGUGAUCAUGUUUACUUCAUAUGUAUAUUAAAGGUUCACGUUAUAAUUUUGUAAUUUGUGGAAACAUGUAUGAAGUCUGUAUCCAUGGCAGUUUAAUGCUCCCAAUUUCUCAGUACA